UACAGAGGUCUCAAGCGUUGUUCGGAUUCAUUGGGCGUAAAGGGUGCGUAGGCGGCGCGGUAAGUCGGGUGUGAAAUCUCGGAGCUUAACUCCGAAACUGCAUUCGAUACUGCCGUGCUUGAGGACUGGAGAGGAGACUGGAAUUUACGGUGUAGCGGUGAAAUGCGCAGAUAUCGUAAGGAAGACCAGUGGCGAAGGCGGGUCUCUGGACAGUUCCUGACGCUGAGGCACGAAGGUCAGGGGAGCAAACGGG
rnacentral:rRNA from 1 species